UCUUUCUGGGGACCCUUAAGGUCAGAGAAGCCAUUGCAGGACCCCAAAUAUAAAGGUCUCUCUGUCUCUUGUGUGAUUAUUUUGUGUAGCCCAGGUCCCCUGGAGUGACCCUAAGUGUCUUAGUCGUGAGGAACACGACACCCAGGUGCCCCAAUUUUUGGUGAGGGAUUGGUAUUCCCGUAACAAAAGCUGGUUUACAGUUUUGUUACAGAUUAUUUGGACCUGGUCUUGAGCCAAUCUAAUGAUGCAGGGGACAAGCAUUAACAGAAGGCCUGUGACAAGGAGAGGGGUCAGGAGAGGAAGUGCCCACUGGAGAAGGGGUGACUUGGCGGCCACCUUCAGCAGAGGAGAGCUGUUGUUUCCGACCUUCAAGGUCCUGUUGGAGUUGUUUAUCUGUCCUUUGCUCUACAGAUUGAUUGACACCAAACAGCAUUCCUCCUGUAGGGACAAAGUCCGCCUCUUUCGGCCAUGAAAAGAUCAAGGCCCCUUGGAUUCUGCAGAACCACAGCGGCUGAAGAAUCGAGCUGGGACUGGGUGGUUACUAUGGUUUGAGCAAGUUGCUGUGAGUCCCUAGAAAUUGGACUGGUAACUCCUGGCCAGCACACAUGCGUGGAGUCUGCUCUGCCAGCCCGGAGGGAUGAACAGCAACCCCUGCGUACCAGUGCGGCCUAUUGAUGGUCAUAGGUGUCAGGUCCGUGGUGGCCACCUAGAAGAAAGCAGCCCGCGGGGGAAAGGAACAUCAAUCAGGGGCCGGCGGAAACGCCUGUCAAUCCGCGAGGUCUCCUGACGAACACCUGUCAAUCAGCAGGACUCCCUGGCCAAUCCUGGAGUUCAGCCAACUGCCGUGACCAACUCCAAUGGGACAAGGGACACUAAGAACACCUUUUCCUGUCCCAAGCCCUUCCCUUACUGCUGUGAGCCCCAUAAAAGUCCAGUCCGGUCAAGCUCCCACGCGGUUUCUCCUCAGACCCUCCUCCUGUCCACUCUGUGGGUCUGAUCGAGUUCUGCCCGGGAGUGAUAGCUCAAUAAAAUCUCGUUCAGCAUUCA